CCUACGGGGGGCAGCAGUGGGGAAUAUUGCACAAUGGAGGAAACUCUGAUGCAGCGACGCCGCGUGAACGAUGAAGGCCUUCGGGUCGUAAAGUUCUGUCCUUGGGGACGAUAAUGACGGUACCCAAGGAGGAAGCCCCGGCUAACUACGUGCCAGCAGCCGCGGUAAUA
rnacentral:rRNA from 1 species